CACGUAGGGGGCGAGCGUUGUCCGGAUUUAUUGGGCGUAAAGCGCGCGUAGGCGGCGCGGUAUGUCGUGCGUGAAAUCUCCCGGCUUAACUGGGAGGGCCGUGCGAAACUGCCGGGCUUGAGGUCGGAAGGGGAAAGUGGAAUUCCGGGUGUAGUGGUGGAAUACGUAGAUAUCCGGAGGAACACCAGCGGCGAAGGCGGCUUCUGGUCCGAUACUGACGCUGAGGUGCGAAAGCGUGGGAGCGAUCCGG
rnacentral:rRNA from 1 species